rnacentral:rRNA from 1 species
UGGGAGCUUGCUCCCUGAUGUUAGCGGCGGACGGGUGAGUAACACGUGGGUAACCUGCCUGUAAGACUGGGAUAACUCCGGGAAACCGGGGCUAAUACCGGAUGGUUGUUUGAACCGCAUGGUUCAAACAUAAAAGGUGGCUUCGGCUACCACUUACAGAUGGACCCGCGGCGCAUUAGCUAGUUGGUGAGGUAACGGCUCACCAAGGCAACGAUGCGUAGCCGACCUGAGAGGGUGAUCGGCCACACUGGGACUGAGACACGGCCCAGACUCCUACGGGAGGCAGCAGUAGGGAAUCUUCCGCAAUGGACGAAAGUCUGACGGAGCAACGCCGCGUGAGUGAUGAAGGUUUUCGGAUCGUAAAGCUCUGUUGUUAGGGAAGAACAAGUACCGUUCGAAUAGGGCGGUACCUUGACGGUACCUAACCAGAAAGCCACGGCUAACUACGUGCCAGCAGCCGCGGUAAUACGUAGGUGGCAAGCGUUGUCCGGAAUUAUUGGGCGUAAAGGGCUCGCAGGCGGUUUCUUAAGUCUGAUGUGAAAGCCCCCGGCUCAACCGGGGAGGGUCAUUGGAAACUGGGGAACUUGAGUGCAGAAGAGGAGAGUGGAAUUCCACGUGUAGCGGUGAAAUGCGUAGAGAUGUGGA